UACGUAGGGUGCAAGCGUUAAUCGGAAUUACUGGGCGUAAAGCGUGCGCAGGCGGUUUUGUAAGUCAGAUGUGAAAUCCCCGGGCUCAACCCGGGAAGUGCAUACGAAACUGGCGGACUUGAAUAUGGAAGAGGGUCGCGGAAUUCCCGGUGUAGAGGUGAAAUUCGUAGAUAUCGGGAGGAACACCAGUGGCGAAGGCGGCGACCUGGGCCAAUAUUGACGCUGAGGUGCGAAAGCGUGGGGAGCAAACAGG
rnacentral:rRNA from 1 species